CACUGCUAUCGAGGUGGGACUAAGACCUGCUAGUCGAACGAACAGAACUAUGUCUGUAAGUGGCGUACUGCUCAGUAACACGUAGCUAAUCUACCCUUAGGACAUUUAUAACCCCGAGAAAUUGGGGCUAAUGAAUGAUAGAUGUGAUGUCCUGGAAUGGUAUUACGUCUAAAUGUAUCUCAUACAUGUUUGGUAUACGCCUAAGGAUGGGGCUGCGGCCGAUCAGGCAGUUGGUGAGGUAAUGGCUCACCAAACCUUUGACCGGUACGGGCCAUGAGAGUGGUAGCCCGGAGAUGGACACUGAGACAAGGGUCCAGGCCCUACGGGGCGCAGCAGGCGCGAAACCUCCUCAAUGCACUAACGUGCGAAGGGGUUACCUCGAGUGCUAUCUGAAGAAGGUGGCUUUUCCUUGGUCUAAAACGCCUUGGGAAUAAGAGGGGGGCAAGACUGGUGUCAGCCGCCGCGGUAACACCAGCCCCUCGAGUGGUGGGGAUGAUUAUUUGGCCUAAAGCGUCCGUAGCCGGCCGGAUAAGUUUCCCGUUAAAUCCAACGUCUCAAGCGUUGGACUGCGGGAAAUACUGUCUGGCUAGAGAGUGGGAGAGGUCAGCGGUAUUCUGGGGGUAGGGGCGAAAUCCUUUGAUCCCCGGAGGACCACCAGUGGCGAAGGCUGCUGACUAGAACACGUCUGACGGUCAGGGACGAAAGCUGGGGUAGCGAACCGGAUUAGAUACCCGGGUAGUCCCAGCCGUAAACGAUGCAUGCUAGGUGU
rnacentral:rRNA from 1 species